AUGUGUUAUGGAUUGUCGUCAUGC
rnacentral:siRNA from 1 species